rnacentral:rRNA from 1 species
CAGUCGCCGCGGUAAUACAGAGGGUGCGAGCGUUAAUCGGAUUUACUGUGCGUAAAGCGUGCGUAGGCGGCUUUUUAAGUCGGAUGUGAAAUCCCUGAGCUUAACUUAGGAAUUGCAUUCGAUACUGGGAAGCUAGAGUAUGGGAGAGGAUGGUAGAAUUCCAGGUGUAGCGGUGAAAUGCGUAGAGAUCUGGAGGAAUACCGAUGGCGAAGGCAGCCAUCUGGCCUAAUACUGACGCUGAGGUACGAAAGCAUGGGGAGCAAACAGGAUUAGAUACCCCUGUAGUCCCUGUCUCUUAUAC